rnacentral:rRNA from 1 species
CACGUAGGGUGCGAGCGUUGUCCGGAAUUAUUGGGCGUAAAGAGCUCGUAGGCGGUGUGUCGCGUCGGCCGUGAAAACUUGCAGCUUAACUGUGGGCGUGCGGUCGAUACGGGCAUCACUGGAGUUCGGCAGGGGAGACUGGAAUUCCUGGUGUAGCGGUGAAAUGCGUAGAUAUCUGGAGGAACACCGGUGGCGAAGGCGGCAUCCUGGACCGACACUGACGCUGAGGAGCGAAAGCCAGGGGAGCAAACGGG